rnacentral:lncRNA from 1 species
CUUUACUAGGACAGAAGGAGCUCUUUGUUGUUCAUUUGCAGGUCAGUACCAACAAUAAGCACAAAAUAUUUACUAAAAUAAAAAAAUAGCGAAAAAAUAAAAUAGAUAAAAAAUGAACAGAAAGAAAACUAAACCUAGAGCUCAAUACUGAUGCUGGUGACGGAGAAAACUGACGAGAUGCAAGAUUGAGACAGAAAGCAAGCAUCAACAACCAAGAAAAUCGAAAUAGCGAAAGAAUAAAAUAGAUAAAAAAUGAACAGAAAGAAAACUAAACCUAGAGCUCAAUACUGAUGCUGGUGACGGAGAAAACUGACGAGAUGCAAGAUUGAGACAGAAAGCAAGCAUCAACAACCAAGAAAAUCGAAACAUAGGGUUAAGAGAUAGAGAAAGAUUGAUGGAGAGACAAAGAGAUAGUGAUAUAGAGAGAUAAGUCGGAUUACCUGGUGAUGGUUGUCGGUCGUGGUGAUGCCGCCACCGAUGGCGGGAUAUAUCUCAAAUUGGGAAAUAGUUCAAUUUGGGUGUCUGUUCUAGGUUCACAAUUUUGUAAAGGUAAAUCUGAGGAUACCAGAUGCUAAAAUCUUCCUUCAGUUUGCCUUCCUCACCAAAGAGAAUAACAUGUUGACAAUGAAGCCCAGGUGAAUCCGUUACAAACACAAAAAUACCACCACAAAAUCUAAUCCAGUAAACACUACACCUAAUGAAACGAAGACCAAAGAGCCAAUUUGUUGAGUCUAGUAAGGAUGGUACCAUCAUAGAGAUGCAGCCCAAUCAAUCUGCAGAGAGUGAAGGAUGGAUGGAACGGCCGAAAAAACUCUGUUGAAGAGGAGUGAAGAGUUUUUUGAUAGAGAGGAGAGAGUAUUUUGCCCUAAUUGUUAUAAUGUGGUCUUUUAACCAAUUUAAUUCUUUCGAAAUAGC